rnacentral:lncRNA from 1 species
GUUUAAGUGACUUGCCCAUGGCCACAUAGCUGUCCUGAAAGAGGAGGAAGACAACAAAGACAUAUAGCUAAACGCAAACACAUUGCCAUGGCGCCAAAGAAAUGAGAAAGAUCAGGGUGGGACCUGCCGUCUUUCCUGCAAUUGGGCUAGUUCAAGCUGUAUAGUCCUGGUUUUAUGUGAGGCCAUUUAAGCAUCAGGUGUCAACGAUUAACCUGGCUCAGUCCUAAAACUGCUGCUGACCUCCAAACCUGCUGCCUUCUGAUCUGAGACAAGGUUCCUUGUCUCUGAUGACACACCAUGCCCAGCUGCCACGCCGAUUAUUCUCCAGGGACAGAUGGCGACUCUCGAUGUGAGAGACACACAAAAGUGCUGAAGGAACAGUCUUACUGCCCCUCCUAGAAUACAAUUUGCCUCAUUCAAAACAGUCACCGUUCACCCAACCUGAAAGGCCUGUAUGUGCACUGAAAUGGAC